rnacentral:rRNA from 1 species
AGCGAACGCUGGCGGCAGGCUUAACACAUGCAAGUCGAACGGAUCCUUCGGGAUUAGUGGCGGACGGGUGAGUAACACGUGGGAACGUGCCUUUUGGUUCGGAACAACACAGGGAAACUUGUGCUAAUACCGGAUGUGCCCUUCGGGGAAAGGAUUUAUCGCCAUUAGAGCGGCCCGCGUCUGAUUAGCUUGUUGGUGAGGUAAAGGCUCACCAAGGCUACGAUCAGUAGCUGGUCUGAGAGGAUGAUCAGCCACACUGGGACUGAGACACGGCCCAGACUCCUACGGGAGGCAGCAGUGGGGAAGUCUUGCGCAAUGGGGGAAACCCUGACGCAGCCAUGCCGCGUGAAUGAUGAAGGUCUUAGGAUUGUAAAAUUCUUUCAGCGGGGACGAUAAUGACGGUACCCGCAGAAGAAGCUCCGGCUAACUUCGUGCCAGCCGCCGCGGUAAU